UACGAAGGGUGCAAACGUUGCUCGGAAUUACUGGGCGUAAAGGGCGCGUAGGCGGCCUACUAAGUCGGACGUGAAAUCCCUCGGCUCAACCGAGGAACUGCGUCCGAUACUGGCAGGCUGGAAUCCGGGAGAGGGAUGUGGAAUUCCAGGUGUAGCGGUGAAAUGCGUAGAUAUCUGGAGGAACACCGGUGGCGAAGGCGGCAUCCUGGACCGGUAUUGACGCUGAGGCGCGAAAGCUAGGGGAGCAAACGGG
rnacentral:rRNA from 1 species